rnacentral:rRNA from 1 species
AUUGAACGCUGGCGGCAGGCCUAACACAUGCAAGUCGAACGGUAACAGGAAGAAGCUUGCUUCUUUGCUGACGAGUGGCGGACGGGUGAGUAAUGUCUGGGAAACUGCCUGAUGGAGGGGGAUAACUACUGGAAACGGUAGCUAAUACCGCAUAAUGUCGCAAGACCAAAGAGGGGGACCUUCGGGCCUCUUGCCAUCGGAUGUGCCCAGAUGGGAUUAGCUAGUAGGUGGGGUAACGGCUCACCUAGGCGACGAUCCCUAGCUGGUCUGAGAGGAUGACCAGCCACACUGGAACUGAGACACGGUCCAGACUCCUACGGGAGGCAGCAGUGGGGAAUAUUGCACAAUGGGCGCAAGCCUGAUGCAGCUAUGCCGCGUGUAUGAAGAAGGCCUUCGGGUUGUAAAGUACUUUCAGCGGGGAGGAAGGGAGUAAAGUUAAUACCUGUGCUCAUUGACGUUACCCGCAGAAGAAGCACCGGCUAACUCCGU